UUUGUAGAUAUAAAUGAAGAGAUAUGAAAAUUUUAUCCUCAGUACUGUGUCAGGCACUUAACGACAAUAAAAACAUUAAUUUAGGGUAAUAAAUAUUCCUAAAGAAAUGAACAUUGAGAAGUUCUCAUUCUGACACACAUUUCAAUGAUCAAUUAAAUCAUCUUUUAUUAGGGAGCUAACCAUUUGAUUUUUAUGGGUGGGCUAGGAUGAAAAAUUUUGUCCUGCAUUCUUUUUGAUGAUUAAGGCAUCAUGAUAGAUAAUAUUUAAACUCUUUCCUUACUUGAAAAAAGCACCUGGUUCCCUAAAGAGCACCAGGGUGCAAAAUUUCAGGGGGAGGGUGCAGAGCCUCUAUAUUUACUGCUCUCCUGGAUACUGAUUUGUAAACAUGUAAAAAUAAGGCCGCUAAUGCCCUCAUGUAUCAUCAACAAAGAAAGUGACAAAUGAAUAAUUUUAUUUCCUUUUUGCAAUUUCUCAUUGAUGUGAUGUAAAUUUUCUGUUAGAAAGUCACACGAUUCUGUAUCUAUAUACUAGUAUGACAGUUUGCCUAAGUUUCACAAGACUGUUUUAUCUUAUUUUUGCAGAAAUUUUUUUUUUCUAGGUGUACAACUGUGCAAGUAUUGAACAUCGCAGCUUGAAAUGCAAUGUGACCUAAAAGACAACAUAAUAAUGGACAGAUGUUCUCUGGUCGUUCGUACUUGUUGGCCACACACAUGGAGAUAUUGAUCCUGCUUUCAGCUAAUAUCAGAAAAAUUAAGAACAAAGGAUGCUGAAACUGUGCAGUCACUGUUCAGGAUUAUUCCAGAUGUUUCAAAAGUGAAAUUAUAAUACAAUAUAUGUUACUGGUUAAUUCCUAUGAUUAGUAAUUUUAAACAACACACAGAGACUUUGCAUUAUUGUUUUACAAGAGAGACACCAAAAGAUGCAAUCAACAUUUAUCAUUUUUAUCAAAAUACACCCAGGACAAACCAUGGAUACACUUAGCUUGAAAUAUUGUGCUUUCUUACCAGAAUUGCCUGGAUGUAAAAGAAAUGAAGAACCUAAAUUCAUGACAACAAUCAGGAGAUACGCAGAAGAACUAGUAUAAAUGGUUAAAGAUGAAAGAAUGCAGAAUAAGGCAGGAUUGAAAGGAAGAAAGAACUAGUCAUCAGUAAAGAAACAGAUCAAUUUAUAUAACAUGUAAUAAUUCCAUCUGAAUAUAACAAACAUUGCACAUGUUAUGAAGAUUUGUUCACAUGUCUACUCUGAUUUGUACCCGUAGUUAUGUAUUUGUAAUAUUAUAUAGUACAUGUAUUUUAUUUUAGAACAGUAUUUUUUUUUCCUGUGGAGAACAUCAAAGAAAUUUAGAAAAAUAUAAUUAAAGAUAGUUUCUUCCAUUUUUUCUGUGACAAAAAAAAAAUUGUGCAAAUUAGGAAAAUGAAAUGAGGCUAUAUUAUUAAAU